ACUCCUACCACCCUCCAGCUCCCUGGCCCCAGUUCCCCCACCACCUAGACUGCAAUUCUUAGGGAACUGGGAAUGGCUCCCUCUCCUUCCUGAACAAUCUGUACUUUUUCUCAGUAAAUAUUGAAUCGAUUUGAAUAAUUACAGUAACAAGAUUUCAGGAUGCAGGAGAGACCUACUUUAAAUAGCUACUUUCCAGGACAAAGUAAUAUCGUUGAUUUUUAUAAAUGGAGAAUGUGAUCCUAAUAAUUGAUCCUUCACCCACCCAGCAUGCCCUGAGUUUUUGUGAGUGCAGGGCGCAGUGCAGGUGCCAAGGAUGCCAAGGGGUGCCUCCCAGCCCUUGCUUUUUCAAUCAGGUCUUACAGGACCUAUUGCAAUGAAUGCUUUCUUAGCCUAGACACUCAUUCAUCCCACAAAUAUUUAUCGAGCACCUACAAUAAAACCAAAAGUCAAAUUUGAAAAUGUAUUCUCUACAACAGACUUAUUUUCAGAUCCUAUGAGAACAAAUAAUUAAGAAAGUUUUGUUAUUUGUUAAUUUUGUUUUCUGAAUCAACUUUUUUUUCUCCAUUCUGUUCACCAGAGCAAGGUGGAGAAAACCCGGAAUCGCAGGGCCUGCCGUUCAGAAAAAGAGGAUCCCCUUACACUCUGGGCACCUCCUAGAGAGCAGAAACUGACCUGCUCUCGCUGGAUUCUGGGGUCUUAGCAAAUAUGAAUUUUUGGCUUCAGGUAAAGUCAGAUGAGUUGCAUUUGCUCGGAUGGAAAUCAUAUGCUCGGCCAAGGUAAGGACCAGGGUGGCCCUAGCCACAAAGGCUGAAACUAGAGCUUGAAGACAGGGAAGGUAGGGAACCAUGGACUAAAACCUGAAAAUGAAAAGGUGGAGACAUUUUUGUAGACAAUCAAGAGGGCUUUGAGUUUGAGGGGACAGUGCUUGUCCGCAUAGAGACAUCCAGCCAGCAGCCUGGAGCUUGAGGGAAGAGCCGUCGGACGACAGAUGGACAAGGUGACCUUGAGCACUCAGCCUCGCCCCUCAGUCCGCUUCCCACCCCCCUCACCAACCAACAGGUUUGCUGGUGCUACCUUUUAAAUAUUUCUUGACUCUUUCCUGCCCUCCUACCUCCCGUGUACAACUCCAGGCCCUCAUAAGCUCUUCCUUCUCUCAGGUCUGCCCUGCCAGUCUCUGUCCCCUUAAAUCCACCCUUCACAUCAGCACCAGAGUCGUUUAUUUGAAACAAAAUUCCCAGCGUCUUCCAUUCCUGCUUAAAGCUUCUCGAACACCUGUCUCCCUCUCGUUCUUCAACACUAGGACAAGCAUCCUCUCCUACGGAACACAGUCCCUGUUGCCUCCACGAUGAGCUCGGUGACCAUGACCCCCAUGCACUUAGAGCUCCCGGUGCCCCCUCCUGACCACACUGAGCCAAUCUUUCAGACUCUGACUGAAUCACUGACUUCACAUUGAAGGACGUUCUUGGACAGGCUGGAUCCGGGAUUCCUCAGGGAAAGCGGUAUAACUGUGAAGAAAUGAAGCAGCCCUCCUCCCGGGCACCAUGGGACCCCGCAGGUGCACCAUGACGGCAGCAGCUUCAGUAGGAAAUGAUGGUUUCCUGCAUUUUAUUCCAUGCCUGGUGUAAAAUCAAAAGCCCAGCCUCUGCAUUUCCAAACUGUCCUGGUCGCUGAAAACCUAGCACAACUUUUCUUUUCUCCUUUCAGUUUUAUGGAAACCGCGGUGCAUUAGCACAGAGGAGAAAAUGUAACCCGGGAAAAUAAAGGAAACCUCAUUGAAAAUGGAGCCGGGGAGCCCUGAAGGGGGAGCUCUCACCCACGUGCUGCUUCUUGCCGCCUGCAGAACCAGCAGCAGGAGACCAGAGUGAUUUCGACAGGACAUGUUUCACAUAGGAAUUCUGUCUCCUGCCUUUUGUUUUGUUUUGUUUGUUUGUUUGUUUGUUUGUUUGUUUUAGGUAAUCUCUACACCCAAGCGGGGCUCGAACUUAGGACCCUGAGAUCGCAUGCUCUUCCGGCUGAGCCAGCCAGGUGCCCCUCUCCUGCUUUUAAGAAAAAGAAGGAAGAUGCCUCCCUGCCCAGGCAACAAGCUCCAGCCACCACUUACAGCCAAUGGGAAACAGCCACAACCUAACCCCUGUUUCUUUUGUUCAAAACAACCCUCCCCAGUUUCCUCCUAAAACCUAGUAAAAAGUUGACCUUCCCUGUGUCUCUUUGGACCGGCCUGUGGCUCACCAUUGCUUGCUUGUCGCAAAUUGCAACUCCUCUGCUAUGCCCAAAUAAAUUCAUUU